rnacentral:rRNA from 1 species
UUUAGGGUGCUCUUGUCUUUAUGGAUCCACUUAAAACAUUUCGAACUUGCAAGUUAAACAUAAAGGGUAAAUGGAUACUUGGAAGGUUGCUUUCUGGGAAAAGCUUUUAGUGCCCUUAUCGCGAGUUUAUUUAUUAAUA